CCUCAACAGGAGAGGAAUGAAGGACAACAGCACAGGAACACAUCCAGCCAUAAGGCGGGAGCUGGAUAACCUGCAGAAAACCCACACCGACAUGUGAGAACAUGCAAACCGCACACAGAGGAGCCCAGAUGUUCUUGCUGAGAGGCGACAGUCUUGACCACACAAACAGUGAUGUUCCUGUGAGCUGCAGUAGUUUCCACAAAGCGACCAGCUGUCCACAUCUGGAUAGCUGCAAUGACGAC